rnacentral:rRNA from 1 species
UCGUACCUUGUUGCUUCGGCGGGCCCGCCGUUUCGACGGCCGCCGGGGAGGCCUUGCGCCCCCGGGCCCGCGCCCGCCGAAGACCCCAACAUGAACGCUGUUCUGAAAGUAUGCAGUCUGAGUUGAUUAUCGUAAUCAGUUAAAACUUUCAACAACGGAUCUCUUGGUUCCGGCAUCGAUGAAGAACGCAGCGAAAUGCGAUAAGUAAUGUGAAUUGCAGAAUUCAGUGAAUCAUCGAGUCUUUGAACGCACAUUGCGCCCCCUGGUAUUCCGGGGGGCAUGCCUGUCCGAGCGUCAUUGCUGCCCUCAAGCACGGCUUGUGUGUUGGGCCCCCGUCCCCCUCUCCCGGGGGACGGGCCCGAAAGGCAGCGGCGGCACCGCGUCCGGUCCUCGAGCGUAUGGGGCUUUGUCACCUGCUCUGUAGGCCCGGCCGGCGCCAGCCGACACCCAACUUUAUUUUUCUAAGGUUGACCUCGGAUCAGGUAGGGAUACCCGCUGAACUUAAGCAUAUCAA